rnacentral:tRNA from 1 species
UCUGUGGCCCAGUUGGUAGGGCAACUGAUUCGUAAUCAGUAGGUCACGGGUUCGAGUCCCGUCAG